rnacentral:misc_RNA from 1 species
CGCACAUUGCGCCCUUCGGUAUUCCGUUGGGCAUGCCUGUUCGAGCGUCAUUUAAACCCUUCAAGCCUAGCUUGGUGUUGGGCGUUUGUCCUGCCUUUGCGUGCGGACUCGCCUUAAAUUCAUUGGCAGCCGGUAGAUUUGGCUUCGUGUGCAGCACAUUGCGCGACGACUCCAGCCUACCCCCAUCCAGUAAGCUAUUCUUUAUUUUGACCUCGGAUCAGGUAGGGAUACCCGCUGAACUUAA